CCUACGGGAGGCAGCAGUGAGGAAUAUUGGUCAAUGGGCGCGAGCCUGAACCAGCCAAGUCGCGUGAGGGAAGACGGCCCUACGGAUUGUAAACCUCUUUUGUCGGGGAGCAAAUGACGCCACGUGUGGCGUUACGAGAGUUACCGAAGAAAAAGCAUUGGCUAAACCCGUUCCAGCAGGCGCGGUAAAAAGGGGGAAGCGAGGGUUAUCCGGAUUUUUUGGGUUUUAAGGGUUCCCAGGCGGAAUAUCAAGUCAGCGGUAAAAAUUCGGGGCUCAACCCCUUCGAGCCGUUGAAACUGGUGUUCUUGAGUGGGCGAGAAGUAUGCGGAAUGCGUGGUGUAGCGGUGAAAUGCAUAGAUAUCACGCAGAACUCCGAUUGCGAAGGCAGCAUACCGGCGCUCAACUGACGCUCAUGCACGAAAGUGUGGGUAUCGAACAGGAUUAGAUACCCGGGUAGUC
rnacentral:rRNA from 1 species